rnacentral:rRNA from 1 species
GUGGGGAAUAUUGGACAAUGGCCGGAAGGCUGAUCCAGCCAUGCCGCGUGAAGGAUAAGGUCCUAUGGAUUGUAAACUUCUUUUGAGUGGGAGCAAUAAGGAUGUCGUGACAUCCGAUGAGAGUACCAUUCGAAUAAGCAUCGGCUAACUCCGUGCCAGCAGCCGCGGUAAUACGGAGGAUGCGAGCGUUAUCCGGAUUUAUUGGGUUUAAAGGGUGCGUAGGCGGUUUGUCAAGUCAGCGGUGAAACGCAAGGGCUUAACCCUUGACCUGCCGUUGAAACUGAUUGACUAGAAUGCGGAUGCUGUGGGAGGAAUGUGUGGUGUAGCGGUGAAAUGCAUAGAUAUCACACAGAACACCGAUUGCGAAGGCAUCUCACAAAUCCGUGAUUGACGCUGAGGCACGAAAGUGUGGGGAUCAAACAGG